UACGAAGGGGGCUAGCGUUAUUCGGAAUUACUGGGCGUAAAGCGCACGUAGGCGGAUUUGCCAGUCAGGGGUGAAAUCCCGGGGCUCAACCUCGGAACUGCCUCUGAUACAGCAAGUCUUGAGUCCGGAAGAGGUGGGUGGAAUUCCUAGUGUAGAGGUGAAAUUCGUAGAUAUUAGGAAGAACACCAGUGGCGAAGGCGGCCCACUGGUCCGGUACUGACGCUGAGGUGCGAAAGCGUGGGGAGCAAACAGG
rnacentral:rRNA from 1 species